rnacentral:rRNA from 1 species
AUGUCGUCACCCGCGCCCGCUGCGGCGGCGCCGAUGGCCGUUGACGAUGCGGAGGACGACCAGAUGGCCUCCAUGUCCGUCGAGGACGUCGGCCGGGCCUCCCGCCUCCUCGACAACGAGACCCGUGUCCUCAAGGACGAGCUGCAACGGACAAACCUGGAAGUGGAGACCUUCAGAGCCAAGGAGAACCAGGAGAAAAUUAAGCUCAACAAGCAACUUCCCUACCUCGUCGGCAACACCGUGGAGGUUUUGGAAAUAAACCCCGAUGAUGAAGCAGAGGAGGAUGGUGCUAACAUUGAUCUAGACUCACAAAGGAAAGGCAAAUGUGUUGUUUUGAAGACCUCCACAAGACAAACUAUAUUCCUCCCUGUGGCUGGGCUAGUUGACCCAGACACGCUCAAGCCUGGUGAUUUGGUCGGAGUCAACAAGGAUAGCUACCUUAUAUUAGAUACACUGCCUUCAGACUAUGAUUCACGAGUAAAAGCAAUGGAAGUGGAUGAAAAACCCACUGAGGAUUAUAAUGAUGUUGGUGGUCUUGAAAAGCAGAUUCAGGAGCUUGUGGAGGCAAUAGUCCUGCCCAUGACACACAAAGACCGGUUCCAGAAGUUGGGUAUUCGUCCUUCCAAAGGUGUCCUUCUGUAUGGACCACCGGGAACUGGGAAGACACUGAUGGCUCGUGCAUGUGCUGCACAGACUAAUGCAACAUUCCUGAAAUUAGCUGGGCCACAGCUUGUACAGAUGUUCAUUGGAGAUGGAGCCAAGCUUGUCCGGGAUGCCUUUCAGCUGGCUAAAGAAAAAGCUCCUUGCAUCAUUUUCAUUGACGAAAUUGAUGCAAUUGGUACCAAGAGAUUCGAUAGUGAAGUUAGUGGUGAUAGAGAAGUUCAACGGACUAUGUUGGAAUUGCUCAAUCAACUGGACGGAUUUAGCAGUGAUGAGAGAAUAAAGGUCAUAGCUGCAACAAACCGUGCUGACAUCCUUGAUCCUGCUCUGCUGCGAUCUGGUCGUUUGGACCGAAAAAUCGAGUUCCCUCAUCCAUCUGAAGAAGCAAGAGCUAGAAUCUUGCAAAUCCAUUCACGAAAAAUGAAUGUAAACCCAGAUGUGAAUUUUGAGGAGUUGGCUCGCUCAACAGACGAUUUCAAUGGAGCGCAGCUGAAGGCUGUUUGCGUAGAAGCUGGUAUGCUCGCACUACGGCGAGAUGCCACAGAGGUAACCCAUGAGGAUUUCAACGAGGGGAUAAUACAAGUCCAAGCCAAGAAGAAGUCGAGCCUGAACUACUACGCUUAA